rnacentral:rRNA from 1 species
UAAUACAGAGGGGGCAAGCGUUAUUCGGAAUUAUUGGGCGUAAAGGGCGCGUAGGCGGCCUGACAAGUGGAAGGUGAAAUCCCUCGGCUUAACCGAGGAACUGCCUUCCAAACUGUUUGGCUUGAGUCCGGGAGAGGCGAGUGGAAUUCCCAGUGUAGCGGUGAAAUGCGUAGAUAUUGGGAGGAACACCAGUGGCGAAGGCGGCUCGCUGGACCGGAACUGACGCUGAGGCGCGAAAGCGUGGGGAGCAAACAGGAUUAGAUACCCUGGUAGUCCACGCCGUAAACGAUGAGUGCUGGGUGUCGCGGGUAUCGACCCCUGCGGUGCCGAAGUCAACACAUUAAGCACUCCGCCUGGGGAGUACGGUCGCAAGGCUG